rnacentral:rRNA from 1 species
UACAGAGGGUGCAAGCGUUGCUCGGAAUCAUUGGGCGUAAAGGGCAAGUAGGUGGUCUCAUUUGUCUAGGGUGAAAUCCUUGAGCUUAACUCAAGAAGUGCCCUAGAAACGGUGAGACUCGAGUACUGGAGAGGGUCGUGGAGUUCCCGGUGUAGCGGUGAAAUGCGUAGAGAUCGGGAGGAACACCAGAGGCGAAGGCGGCGACCUGGACAGUUACUGACACUCAACUGCGAAAGCGUGGGGAGCAAACAGG